rfam:Zootermopsis nevadensis contig24058, whole genome shotgun sequence.
UCCCAUGUGGUCUAGUGGCCAGAAUACCUGGCUUUCACCCAGGAGGCCCGGGUUUGAUUCCCGGCAUGGGAA